ACGAAUUUGAAUUUGUGACGCUUCGAAUCGGUUGUUCUGCUAAAUACUGAAGAUUUUAAUCUGCCACAGCUGAUUUAGUUAUUUGAUUUUAGAGGUAGACAAAAUAUGGCUACAAUAAGUGACGAUAUUCCUGAGGAAUACAGAGAUGGGGUUAACCAAAUGGUUGAAAUCAUGCAUAGAGAAGUUGAGUACCGUGCCAAAGGGUUUAAGUGGGCUAUGGACGAUUUUGAUAUCGGAGCACCAUUGGGGAGAGGAAAAUUUGGCAGAGUAUAUUUAGCUAGAGAAAAGAAAACCCAUUACAUGGUGGCUCUUAAAAUGCUGCAUAAAUGCGAGUUAGUCAAAGGACGAGUAGAGAAACAAGUGAUGCGUGAGAUUGAAAUACAAUCACAUCUGAGGCACCCAAAUAUACUCCAUUUGCUAACCUGGUUUUAUGAUGCUAAACGCAUCUAUUUAGUAUUGGAGUUUGCUGCAAAUGGAGAACUUUACAGGGAAAUGCAGCGUCAGCCUGAAAAGAGAUUCAAUGAGCACUUAUCUGCCAAGUACACGUAUCAAGUAGCAGAUGCCCUGAACUAUUGUCACAAAAACCAUGUGAUACAUAGGGACAUUAAGCCUGAGAACUUGUUACUUGACUUUCAAGGUGACAUAAAAUUGGCAGACUUUGGAUGGUCUGUGCAUGCUCCGUCGUCAAAGCGCAACACUAUGUGCGGCACAUUGGAUUAUUUACCUCCAGAGAUGGUAGUAGGACAGACAUACGACAUAUACGUUGAUCACUGGUGUUUAGGAAUUCUGUGCUAUGAAUUUUUAGUUGGGAGGCCACCAUUUCUCAGUGACACGCAUGAAGAAACAUACAACAAAAUUAAGGGCUGCAUUAUACACUGGCCAGCUCAUGUUUCUUUAGGUGCACGAGAUCUUAUAUCGAAGCUGAUUAAAAGGAAGAGCUCUGACAGAAUUCCACUACCUGCUGUGAUGAAGCACCCUUGGAUAGUUGAAAAAAAAAGCAGAAAAUAGUCAUUUCUAUAGUAUUAGCUGUCGUCCCUGAAGCGCAAUGCCUAUUCUGGAGUGAACCCAUUUUCUGGAAUCACUGUUAUCUUGUCCAGCGUAAAACGUAUUCCUCAUGGACCCAGGAAUCCGUGCAGUCGGUUCAUCUGAAACAUAGAAUUCAAAGGGAAUCUUAAAAUAUAAUACAUAGAGUAGUCCGUGAUGGUAGAUUUCUAUCCUGAAACUUAUUUUUACAGAAAUGCCGACAGUUCGAACAUGAUGUUCGUUCAUCGUCCAUAAUUUUCGACCCUCGGGGUUUUAAAAAAAAUUCUCCCGUGUGAAUAAGAAAAAAUGUCACAAAACAUUGUAUAAAAAUUGCAGCAAAUCGGUCGAACUAUUUUCGAAAUAUUUUGAGAAUCGACUUCCAAAUUGAUGUUUUAAGAUAACUGAGUUCAACGUUUGGCCAAGAAACUAUGUGCAAGAUAUAUUUUUUUUCUUCAAUUUACCGUCAGUGAUUCCAGGGUCAUAAAGUACUAUUCCAGCAUCAAUUCUUACCUAUUUACACUGAAUUCCUCUUCACGGGUCGCCUGUUUAGUUUCAAUUUGGUUGAUAUGAAUGUGCUCCUCAUCGUCUACUUCGCAGUACCAAUCAGCUUUCCUUUUGAUUUGGUUCCGGAGUUAAAAAUUCAUGUCGCUGUAUUAGCGGCAAUGUUUCCAAUGUGUGAACUGCUAUGGUUGAUCUCGGGUGCUAUUACCAAAGUACGUUGUUGAAGCUCCCGUUUGAAUUUGGUGUGUAUCUUCUGUCAUAGCAUUGUAACUGUCACAAUUAGAUCUCUAAAUAUCAACUCAAUAUAUUUGUCUACAUCUGGAUGGAGAACAGGCUUAUGGUGGUAGCUCUUCAAUGUAUUUGUAGCCUUUGCUCACUGCCAAGAGAACACCACUGUCAAUCCCUGGUGGACACCCAUCAUGCUGUGACUUCUGGUCAGUUGAUAUCAUAUGGAAAAAGGUAUACCGAAGAUUGUUUGGUAAUUUCUUUGCACAAUAUAACGGCAUCAGCAUGAUCUUGCAAUACUGAUACUGAAAUACCGAAACACCGAGAUAUCGAAGACAUCAAUAUUCCUCAUCAUAAAAUUAAUGGAGCUUUGUUUACAUGGACUUGUUUGAAACUACGAUUUUUACCAAAACAACGGUACUUUGAAGUAAUGCAUGUACCGAUUAUCUGCAAGAAUUUCUUAAUCUGUUUGACACCUGCCAAACCAUAAACGUUCGCCAUUAACAUAACAAGGAUAUUGGAUGAGGCAUUGUAGGAAACUUCUGGUAUAGUCAGGUCAUGUAAAGUCACUCGGAAUAUUACAACUUCCCAAGAGUUGUGAUAUAUUUCUUUCACAAACCAUUUUUUUGUCUUGAAAAAUGCAUGCGCAACUGAAACUGUUGAAAUAUUUGAUUAUCAAACUUUCAACGAAAAUGCUGAACUCGUUACUGAUUGAUUUGAUAUGUGUAACAGAUCAGUUUGAACAAUGCUUAAGAUCAUGAAAAAAUAAUAUACAUUCUUUGCAAAUCAUUAGUGAGUUGUAAUAUUUUACAAACAGAUGUAUGGAUUUGAAUAGUAUCUUGUCUGAUGAGUCCCUGUAGCUCUCUGUAUGCCAUAUAUUUACAUGAUAUUUUGGUAUGGUUAUUAUAUAGAAUCCUACAUGGCUGAUUCUAUGAAGUAGCUGCUGACCAAUAUACAUAAUAGCUUUUAGAUUCGAAAAUCGGAACCUAAGAUAAGAUUACGCUUGGCUAAGAGACUAACAAUAUUCUUUUGUAUAGAAUAUAUUUUAACGAA
rnacentral:misc_RNA from 1 species